rnacentral:rRNA from 1 species
AUACGGAGGAUGCAAGCGUUAUCCGGAUUUACUGGGUUUAAAGGGUACGCAGGCGGUAAUUUAAGUCAGUGGUGAAAGCCUACAGCUCAACUGUAGAACUGCCAUUGAAACUGAAUUACUUGAGUAUGGUAGAGGUAGGCGGAAUACAACAUGUAGCGGUGAAAUGCAUAGAUAUGUUGUAGAACACCGAUUGCGAAGGCAGCUUACUAAACCAUUACUGACGCUCAUGUACGAAAGCGUGGGGAGCGAACAGGAUUAGAAACCCGAGUAGUCC